GGGAGGAGGGGGGGGGUGUGUGUGCUUGAAGGAGCGUGCCGGCUUGACACUGUUGGAGAGCGGGAUUGUGAAACGGGGCCGGUGGGAACAUGAAGUAAUCCUGCUCCGUAAUUCCUUGAGGGCCGGGCUGCCCCCCGCACACACCGCCGGCUCACCUGACCCCGCGGGGUCUCGGCCGGGGCCAGAGCUGGAGCUCCCUCCGCUCCAGCUGCCUCUGAGCCUGCCAGCUCCAGCCGCGCAGAAAGGCUUGGAAAUCAUACGUACUUGGAAAUCAUACGUACUUGGAAAUCAUACGUACUCCCCUACCUGUUUACAUGCAUGCACUACACAUGCUAUAUACUUUCUGGUAUUUCAACAUUUUAAAAUUUAAAUUUUAACGUUUUAAUAAAUAUAUUUAUAUAUUUAAAUAAACAUAUUUAAACUGUAUGGUUUAGGGUUUUAUGAAUUUGUACGAUGUAUAUUUAUCUUUGUAUUUCAGCUAUUUUUAUAAUAUAUAUAUAUAUGUGAAACUAAACGCCCCUCUUUAGGUGCAGGGUAUGUACAAGUUGUAAGUUGCCUCUUCCCCUGUGAACUACAUAUGGGUAGAUUAAAUACAUCACAUUCAUACACUUUAAGUGGACCAAAACCAGCUCCUACAGUUCCAGCAGGAGGGUGGCUGCAGGAAAUGCCAUGAAGUUCCCUGUUAUCUGCUGCCUUAUCUUUUUCUGCCUACCUGGUCAGUGUUGCAGGAAUUUUAACCUUUCACAGGGACUCUUCACCCAGGGCAAGUGUGCCUGUUUAGAUCAAUCUUGUAGAAUGCAGACUGAGUCAAACUGGGCAAGGCAUGCUGACAUUGAACUUUUGGAAUGUCUUGAACUGAUUUUGGCCAAAUUGACCUUUUUCUUUCCUUUUUUUUUUUUUUUGUGUGUGUGUGUUAAUAUGAAAUCAGUUCUGUUUUCUCACACAAUGAAGACCAGAGUGAGACCUGAUUCUGCUUUGGGAAGUGCUGACUUCCCAGGGUGCAGAGUGAGGAGAACAGAACAUGGGGCGUAAGAGAGGUGAUAGACAAUACAGUGACUGAACUUGCGUGUCUUCAUUUGGAUUCUCCCUUUAAAAAAAACCGAGAUACUUCUAAUUCAUUUCUAAAAAUAGCUUGGAUAGAGAACCUCAGGAAAGAAGCAGGCUACUACUGUUUUUUAUUUCAAGUCUCGUUCUGACAGUAACAGAAAGGGAACUGCAGUAAUUUUGCCCAGUGGAGAGAUAGUAGAGCUGGAACACAAGUGUGAGAGAGCAGCUUUCAACAGCAGCAGUCCAUCUCUGCCCAGGUCCCUGAGCACAGCAGAGGGGAUAUUCCCAGAACAGUAUCUACUGUAAUGUUAGCUCUCCCUUACCGGGUCUGUGGAGUUAGGCAUGGAAGAAAGCAUACCACUAACAGUAUAUUUGACUAGUAUCAAUCAAAAGAUCCUAUUGCAACUGUACAAAAGGAUUAAAACAGCCAGAGCAGAUGAGCUCAGUGCCUGGUAUUUGUGUUCUAAUGACCAUCAGAGUCAGGUACAGCAGGGAAGGAACUCCUGCCUACCUCUUUUUCCAUUUGCAAUAGCCAUAUGGAUGUACAUGCCUCAGAGAGGAAUUUCCUUCCACUGCCAGGCGACUCAUAGGCUGUUCUCUGCAGACAGUCAAACUUUUCCUUUACCUAACUGAAGUGAAAAUGCUACUCUUAAAAUGACCAAAACUUGGUAGAAGGCUGUGUUUCCUUAAUAAAUUUUUUUCAGCAGGCAUUCUGUAAUUGAGUCUUGUCAUUUUAAGAGUGAAAUAAAAACAAAUUUCAUCUGUUGUUCCUCAUAUAAAAGGCUCUAAGCCUUCAGUUAUUAUUUUCUCAUUUUGGGGUUUUGUUUACUUUUUUAUAUGAAUGUCCAUGUGACUUUUCAGAAGUACAAAGUAUACUUACAUGCUCCAGUGGAAGUUGCUCAUUAAUGCCUUAGAAACUCCAUUUGAUAAUCUAGGACAAAGCGUAGCAUUCAAGGGAAGAAGGAACUGGAAUUUACACAACAGCAUUAAAAUACUUCUUCUAUUGCUGGGGACAGUUUCUUAUGGAAAAUCACUUAUUUAAUUGGUCCUGUACAUAAUAGAAAUACUUUGUGCUGAUCUAUCUAUAAUAAUGGUUAAAGUUUGUGGAGGGCUUAAAGGAGGUCAAUUAAUCCACACUGUACUACAGUGAGUUGCACUGAUUUAUCAGUAGUCACGUUGUUCAAAAUGUAUUAAGCCCUGAACAAACAGCACUUGCUCAUGAGUUAGAUACAGGUCAGGAGAUCUGCCUGGUACUUGAAAUGCAUGAGUAGUAUUGCUGAGACUCAAAGGCAUAGUUUCUAGAUACCGAGGAGUUUCUUUCCUGCAUAGCACCUCUGUAAUGCUGCCGAUUACUGUUCUUGCAUCCUUUUAUUUCUAUUGCACUUCAUUUCACUGUGCAGGUUAUUUUUUUCCUUGGCAUUUAUAGUAUCAACCAGAUGGCUGCAUUCUGACAUGUAAAACCUCCCUAAGGUGUGAUUUCAGAAAUUCUCAGUGUUUAUCCAACUUUUUCUUCUGUCUGAGAAAUGUAUGAAAAUUACUACUGUACAUUUCUGUAGGAGCAAAGGAUCCAGUUCUGAAUGUUGUAAAGAAUCUCUCAGACUGUCCACACAUGAAAAUUGUUCCUGAUCGCAGUCAAGUGUGAGUUUAUAGCCAGGAAGCCAAUCCAGAAUCAUCCCAUGUGUCAAUCUCUUGUUUUCUAGGAUCAGUGUGCUACUCAUUGACCUGUUCUGGAAUGGGUUCUGUUUCUUCUAGAAUUCUUACUCUGCCCAGGAGCAAACCCAUGCCGCUUUUACUCCUGAUAACUUGGGAGAUUUGUACAGAGGAGGCUGUUUUCAGGAGAGGUGAUUGACAACAGCAUGGAAAUGGUGCUGCCACUAAAGAAUUCAACAAACUGCAAAGCUGUCAUGGUCAAAGCUUGUCUCCCCUCUUCUGUUGGCUGUCAGGCACAUGUCUGCAAGGAGCCCUACCAUGGGCCGAGGUAAAACACAGCAGCAGGAGACACUGCUUGCUGAAUGCUGUGAGUCAACUAAAUGGCUACAUAAAUGGCAUUCCUAGAUAGAAAAAUAAGGUAUUUUAUUUUACUAGGGUUAUAGUAUGUUCCACUUUGAUUUGUGUGUUUGGUUUGACUGUCUUUCUCAUUCUAAUAAUCUCCACUAUGCUACAGUAGUAAGACAAACCACUGAUGCAUAUUGGGGAAUAAUGACUUAAAAUAGUAUUGUGGGUAAUAGGAGAAAUACAAAUGGAAAUAUGGUGUUCUUUUAUAGAAGCGUUAGAUUUUGUGUGGGAAAAAAUGCCAAUUGUCAAAAGACUGUUCAAGAGGGAUCAUGGCAAUGGCUGAGUAAAUAAUUUCCAAAUUUCUUGAAUGAGGUUGGAAAGCUGAUGUCCAGUUCCCCUGACAUAUUUUUGGUUGGAUUCCUCAAAGCUUAAAAUGAGGGAACUUGAGUUCCUACAGAUCUUGUAAAGAAUGUCAGAGUUCUUUGUGGUGUUAAACCAAGCUGCCCUGUGCUGUAUUUGAAGUGAACAGGUUGAACAGGUCAGUAAUACCCUGUGUUCAUGUUUCUCAUAAGCAAACAUUGCUUUGACAAGCUGCGUGUCACCAAAGACCGCUGAAGCACUUGACUAACAGCCUGUUGCUUUUGUGGCUUUGCAAGUUCUUUGGUUCUCUGUUGGUUGUUUGCCAGGGAACUGCAGAGCUCUUUGGGGACUUUUUGGUGAAAAACUCUGGGGAUCGCUAAUUUUUCUUUCCUUAAGAAAAACAUGCAUCAUUUUUAAACAAGACUAGGAUGUGUAAUAAGACAAUUUUUCUUCCUCAAGUGCAUCAUAUGCAAAUACCAUGGGUUUCCUUGCCUUGAGCUAAAUCAGAGGUCUAAAGCAAAAAUGUUUGCUUACCCUUAAAUUACAUCCUGGUUUUCAGCUUAAUCUGCUUAAUCUCAAGAAGAGAAAUCAUGCCCUGGUCUUCUCUAGUCAACUUCCAGGCAGACAGGUGGGCAGUCCUCGGAGAAAGAGGUCAUAAAGAUAACUGUUCUUGGGGAAUAUCUGAAUGCUGCAAGCCACUUUAAGUAGACACCUCUUCAAGUCAUAAUGAUUUCAGACAUUUUAAUGCUGGAAUCGGAACAUUGUGACACUUGCCAGUGAAACUAGAUUUGCACUAGGAACACUUUCUUGUUGUGGCUGCACCAAUAAAUGGUGUCAGGAGGCAAUUCCACAAACUUUUCUUACGGAAUGAAAGUAGCUGUUGCUUUGUCUCUAUCACAGUGCAGUGUGUGUGCUGUAGUGGGUACUUUUUCACGGGGCUACAUCAGGCACCAGGUCAGAGAACUGGAUGAGUUAGAAAUACCCCAGUGGCCUUUGGUCUUUCACAAGCACACUCUCACAGAACCUGCAUGCUAUAUCUGGCUUAUUUGUGAGCAUUACCCACUAUGGCAACAUGCUGUUUUGACAAGGAUCCCAUUUGAUGGGUAUUGUGUUUUGAAUUUCGUAGGGCUGUACUUCUAAAGAAAAUCUCUUUCCCCCUUUAAAAAUAAAUUGAUUGUAAAUUCCACUUGUGUUCAAGGAACCUCUUUGUUCCCUUUGAGCUCUCUUUCUAAGCAUAAAAGAUGAAAAUUCAAAGAAAUUGUAUGACGAAGCAGAAAAGUGAGGGGAAGUCACGGGGGAAAAUGAAGAAGCUGAAAAGAGAACACAGCGAGGAGUCUGAGUGUAUGGGAGGUACUGCAUGGGGGCCACCGAUAGAAGUAACUCCCUUGUCAGAAUCAUAUGCAAGGCUCCAGUGCAUUCCUUUUGGGAGGACUUCUCUUGUCUAAUGAAAGAGCGAAGAGCAAAGAGAGUCAUGCUGAAGAGUUUUGCAAUCACAGACUAUUGUCACUGCAUGCUUUGCCAUCUGAAUAGAAAACUCCUGGAUUAUUGUGAGACAAAGUGUGUCUCUGAAUUUUGGAGGGACUGUCACGUGACAGCACAGCUCUGGUAGGAAGAAAAAUCAAACACAGACCCCUUAGUUAAAAAGAUGGUGGGGGGAGUCUUCAGUGGUUGACUGCCAUAGUAUACAAAGCUCAGAAAAAAUUUGAAUGGAAGGCAAAUAGGAGUUGGGAGGGGAACAGGAUAAAAUGAAGCAUAACUUUACAGAGUUGGAUUAUGUCACACCAAUAGACUCUUUGAGAAACCAUUUCCUGCAUAAAGGAAAUAUGCAUUUCCUUCCUGGGAAUCUCAAUUAAGCCUUUUCAUGGAGUCUUGUAGGAUGCAGUGAUAAGGGAGCUGUGAGAAACCGGGAUUAGGUAUGCCUAGAGCUGCUUAAAAGGGAGAGAGUACUGCUGAGUGCUAAUAAGUACAUGUUGAGGAAGGAAUUCAUGAGCUGGGUGCUGUGAUGUCAGCAAGUAUGUUGCAUAGAGAUAGCUGUGGAAGGGAAGGACACUGUUGUAUAUGGUGGGUGUGCUGCUAAUGUGAUCUUAAAGUGGUCAGGUGAGGAAUAGCCAGCAGAAAAGAGUGAAGCUUACUGCCCUGAUUCAAAGAGAUUAUUGGGAUUUCAUUUAAAUUUUGCAUAUGCUUUUUACCGUUCCAUUAAACAAACAUGAACUGAGACUGAAGGGUGCACAGAGUGGUCAGAGGGAUGGAGGGCUUUGUGCUGGAAAGAAAGCUGAAAGUGAGUGCUGUAUUUAGUCCAGCAAAACAAAGCCUUAGAGGGGACCAAGAAUGCUUCUUAUUGACAGUAUAAAUACCAGAGAAGAUGCCAGUGAGCAGAUAGGACUAACCUACUUGUGAAUAGAAAUGUGUUCUUCAAAUGAGAAGGUGCUUUCUAACCAUGGAACAAAUUUUCUAACCAGAAAAAUGUUUUGCAGUGGUGCCCAGAGGCUGCCAAAUCUCCAUCCUUGGAGCUGUGCAAAACUUGACCAGAUGAGACUAUGCGCAACUUGAUCCCCCUUUGAAUUUAAGUAAGGGAGUGGCCUAGAUGACCUCCAGGGGUGCCUGCCACCUGAAUGAUCCCAUGCACUAUUAGAACAAAUAAGUUCCCAGACACCUUUCACAGCAGAAGAGUGAGAAGCAAAAGGAAAGAAAGGAAAAGCCCUCAAAACCCAAAAUGCUAUUAAGGCAGACUUUUACAACAGGAUUGUUUUGUACCUGUAGGUGCUACGCAGGAAAGAGACCUGAGGAUUAGGGUGUUCUUUCCAGGCUGUAAAACCUUGCAGGGCAGACAGGCAGCGACAAGUCAGAACAUGUCUUACCAUCUCUUUUGGGUCUCACAGCUCAGCAGCAGCAAUGAGCACUUUUUGAUACAGAAGACUUUGACAACUUAUUUAUUGCUUGUCUUUAUCACUCUUGUCCUCAAUAUAGUUUUCACAAGACUCAGGUUAUUUUGCAGGAGAGCUGAGAAUGGCUGAGUAAUGAAACAAAGAAGGUGAUGAGAGGCAGAAUUAGAAUAUAGAAAAGGAUUGGGGGGAAGUAAAGAAUCAAAAGAGAAUUGAAGGGAAGAAGGAGAAAGACGUGGUCAGGGGAAGCCCAGAUUUCCUAAAUAGACUGCAAAAUCGAAUUUCUUUGGCAGGUCCAAUGGCACAGCCUCUCCUGAAUAAUUUAGAAAGUGAAAUGAAUUGGUGAAACAAAACUGACCUGACUUUUACUUUUGCAUCAGGGAAUUUUUGCAUGACUUUUUGCAUCAUGGAAUUAUAGUUCUUGCAAAAGACAGAGCAUUACCCUGGGCAGAGUCAGCUACAGUAUUUUAACUCAGGUCUCUCUCCCUGACUCCUCUUUUUCUCCAGGUAGCCUAUGCUAGUUUUGUAGGAUCAUCUCUAGAAGAAGGAGACAAUUGUUUCUUCAAGCACAUUCAUCCCAGCAGGAAAUAUCCGUUUCUUGUUUGUAACUCAGUUUUCUACCAAUGUCAUUCCACUGAAAUAAAUUCAGGAAAUUUGGCUUUUAGUCCUUUAGGAAUCGUACAGAAAUACAUGUGCAAGGACUGGGCUGAUACCUUUCUUAGCUAAAUAGAAAUAUUAAAAUUGGAUGCUCAAGAAAAAAUAUUUUUAAUGUCUUUUUUUUUUUUACAUUGAAGUAAAAAAUAGCAGGCAAAAAAUAAACAUACAAGGGGAAACCUGAGUAAUUUAAAAGAUAUUUUCAUGUGAAAUUAUACCUUAUCCACUGCAUUUGUUUGUAUCCAAAAGGAAAAAUUUCACAUGCUUUUGGUAAUUUUUGGAUUGAGAUG